UUUGUUUCAAUUUAAAUUGCAUAUACAAACAUUGCCGGUAAAAGGCGAUAGAGUUAAUUUAUAAUCUUCGUUUGAUGGGCGGAAAAUCCAGCAAUUAGCGAAGCGCCAAAGUUGUUGAACCGAAUUAAGUUGGCCAAUUUUACAUUUAUUUUUUUCAACGAGCGUAUAAACACAACAUUUUUUUUCAGAACUUUAAAAAUAUUUACAUAAGCCUGAAGCUAUUACCCCACCUCUAAAAAUUCCUAUAUAUUUUCUUUGAUUUUUUAGGCGCAGUUUAUACAUUUAUAUGACAAAUUCGGCCUCUUUCAGUUUGUUGUUGUUGACAGAAUUAAUUAAUGUUGUAAGCGUAUUGUUUUCGCAUUAAAAUAUGUUUUAAAGCCGGCAGGAAAGAAAUGCAACAGAUGUGGAUAAGUUUUCACGUUGACUUAUUUUCACAGAAUUGUUAUUUACUUCCAUCUCGCAAUUAAAGUUUUUCCGGGGCACACGAUGAUGUUGCACCACCAUUCCCUCCUCCUCCUCACAUUUAUCAGUUGCAUCCGAAUUGCGAGCAAAAGUUUACCGACCGUAUUAUUGCUUUUUUGCAGCGGAUAAUGUUGAGUAUGGGAUGAAAAUACUUUUAAAAUUUAAUUAUUAAAAAACAUGAUAGGACGGGAAAAAUUUGUAUUCACAAAUUUCAAUUUCGCGCAUCUUCAAUUAAUUCAUUAUUUGACCUUUGUAUAUUUGCAUAGUCCUGUGAUGAAAAAAAUACCCCUAACGAUGCCAAUUAAUUGACUGUUUGCAGUGGCAACAAAUUAGCCUGCAUCAACAAUGCCAACAGCUAAAAAUAUUUAAAAAAAAGCGGAAAAUGUAAGUGAAAAAUAGUUCAGAAAAUCGUCAACGCAGCAAGGACAAGGACAAGGACAAGGAUCCUUGUGGAUUAUUAAGCAAAGUCAAAUAUUAAAAUGCCUUAAAUAUCUUUGUGAGAAUAAAGAAACAUUUUAUCGGCGAAAUUCCACUUUAAGUAAGAAAGAAGGCUGGGCAAAGAUGAAUUUAUAUCCUAAUGAGAUGAUAUUAUUCGCGGGGUAUUUAAAACAUAUUUUUAAUGCAGAAAAGGAAAGUUUUCAAUUAAAAGCAUAAAUUCAAAACUUAAAACCAAAGCUUGCUUUAAAUUUCCCAUUAAAUAUACCGAAUCGAUGCGACUUUUUCCUGCUACCUCUUGGUUUACUUUCGGGUUCUGCCUGCUGUGAAAAUGUGUGGAAAAUUCUAUCAUCUGUUGCUUCCGGCCAAUGCAAAUGUGAUUCCUGAUGGCCACCGUGCGAAAAGCCCCUUUGACAUUGUUAAUCAAUUCAUGUUAGCCAAACUUGCACCCGCUAUCAGCAAACAUAUAGGAUGUGACGCAGCUCGGUGGCAAAUUGAGUUUAUGCUGGUUCUGGCUUUUUUCCGCGGGCCUUACAUGUCCUGAAAAGUGGGCGGGACCACGCCCACGGCAUAGUGCAGCAUUGGGUGGCUAUGGAUGCAAAUGAAGCGGGGCGAGUGGAGCGGAGCUAAUUGCUUUCAUAGAGCGCCUACCCUAAAAAGUAUGCUAAGCAAACGGGUGCAUUUUAGUUUUUCUGGGAAGAGGCCAAGUUAUUAAAAAACUUUUGUGCCCGUAUCCAGGGUACACUUUUCCAAGAAUUUCCCCCACCCCCUCACCGACAUUUUCUUUUUUCUUACACCUAAAUUGGUGGCGAGAGCAAAUUCGCAGAGCCCAUAAAAAUAAUAAUAAAUUUUCCUUCUCUCUCGUUUGUGGGGAAAUUGCAGGACAAACAGUUGUUAAAAGCUCCAAGAGUCGUAAAUUUAUGGCUGGCUGUUUUGGGCGCUGGGGGAGAUGGGGCAGGUGGUGUCCAUACAUCGAGCUCCAUAGCUCGAUACCUCUCGGGCAUGCAUAUUGACUCGCACAUCGCAUUUUCCUCGCACUUUUCCGAUGGCGAUUAAUGCUAAUAGAGAGAAACCCCGCCCAAAAAAUUAAGACAAACAAACGCAGCGACAAAGUGAAGUGAAGAAGGAAAAACUGAGGGGGAAGCAGACCCUUUGUGGACUUUCACCGCCGCACUGGCGUCGUUUUCUUCAAUCUACUCUACUUACAUUCUGUUUAUUAAACAAAAACACUCAAAUUGGGGCCACAGGCAAGCCCACAUAUAUUGCCCAUGACGAAAGGGCGCCGAGAAGAAAAGCGGCAGGGAAAACUGGCCGCCAGGUAGGCGGACACUGAUAACAGCGAGUUCCUUUCAUAUUUUCAUCGGAAAAUGUAUCGCAUCUUGUGUCGCUGGCAAGGCAGGGCCAUAGGCAAAUUUUCGAGCGGGCUGUGGAAUCGUGACAUUCUUGCUAAAUUGUUUGCUUUCGCUGAAAAAUAUCUUAAGAGAGGACCGAGGGUCGCCUCUGCAGUUGCAAAUUAAAAGCAAGAAAUGAGAUAUCAACUAUAUGGAGUGUAUUGCAAUUAUGUUUAUAUAAUAAUUUGACUAAACUUUGCUGAACAAGAGCAUACGUUUUAACCAUAACAUCACAUUUAGCAGGAACACAUUAAGUUUAAAACCUUCAGUUUAUAUUUGGUAUCUUUAGCUUUUUUAAGUUGCAACUAACUUUAAUGCAUAGCAUACUUAACAACUCCUCUUAAAAAUCAAUCAAAAACGAACUAUUGUUAACCUGCUUAAGCCAAGAACUGCAAAGACGCCCCAUAAAUUCGCUUAUCUGUUGCUUUUGGCAUAUUGAGGCACUUAAUUUAUGCACAUGGAGGGGUUUUACUGGGGUGGGGGUCAUGGUAAGCAAGGAAGUGGAAGUGGAGGGCAGGAACUGCCAAUCGACACUUUCCGGGAAAGGAGCUGGUGGAGGAAUUGGGGGGUAAACAUCGCCUCCGGUCACAUCGACACCGUCUUGUGGCAGCGCCCAGGAACAGCAGCAAGUCGAGAAGGCCGGGCCAUUAAUGCCAAGUUAAAACAACAUAAUUUAGUGCCGGGCCUUUGGGCCCAAACAUAAACAAUUCGCCUACAAAAGCGUUGAAAGGGCCCCAAAAUGAUGGCCACUUGGCCAGAGGUGGGAUUGGAAGGGAAGUCGCCGAGUCCGAGGGCAACAAGGUUGCCCAAAUCACCGAAUAGAUUAGCAGCUUUGUUGUGGGUAGAUUACAAUUAUGUAAAUUACGGUUCGGGCAAGUCGUGUUUUAUGUUUAUUAUUUGCGGAUUUCCAGGAAUCUUAACGCACUUGUGGCUUAAAGCGUGUGAUUUAGGAUAAACAUGGGUAAAGUGUAAAGUGUCAACAGAAAUGUCAUGCGAAUAUUUAUGGCAAUAUCUUUGGUUAAGUGAUAUGAUUACAUUGCUCAUUUGCAAUUCCAUGUUUAAUUCAUUAACGAACGAUUCUCAGGUCAAAGGUUUAAUUGAACAUUAAGGCCGCAAUUAUUAUUUGCAUUAAUUUUGAUUUUAAUUGUAUUGAAACAAUUCUUGAUUUUGCAUUGCCGCCAACUUAUGGAACUUUGGCCGGCAAUUGCAAGCCAGAUAAGAAAUUCCAAACUUAGUGAACAAUAGAGUGCACUGACCCCUUGACCUUUCUUUUUAUCGCUUCUGGAUUGGUUCUUUCAGUUCAAAUUCUCGCCGAAACUUUUGGCCGCGAAAAAAGUUUAAUAAACUUGACCGAAAGGCCAGAAGUGAGCUUAAUUGGCGAUGAGGUAUUUAUUACUUCUGCCCAAGCAUUUUGCUAUGAAAAUUAGUGCAUGCAUAUUGAAAACAUACUUGAAAUAUAGACAGUCAGUCAAGCAAAUACCAAAGUAGAUGUCACAGCACUGAUUUGCUUGAACAAAUCCCAAACGCCUGACUAUGAAAUUCCCGCAUAAAUGUACAAAUAUACAUAACAAAAGCAAACUUGUACUAAAUCCACUACCAAUUGUCACUUGUCACAUGUCAUGUCUCACAGGAAUAAUGCCAUAAAACAAGGAGCCGAGGCAAAAGGUCUUUUUUUUAUUGGCCAAAUUGGGAGCCCACGGCUAUUUGUGCAAAAUAAUUUUCCUCCCGUUUUCAACUAUUUUUUGUCAACACACACUUUAUAAGUGCUAGCUUUGUGUUUGGCUUUUGGUCUAUAAACAAUGUUAAUAAUUGCGCUGAAAACAAAUGCUUACGCUUAAAUAUUUCCACAAAAUAAAAAUAAGUUUAUUACAUUUAAAAACAUAGCAAAUAUUAUUUUGCACUUUUCUGUAUGGCUUGGCAUAUUUGUGUACGCUUUAAUUAGGAUUUAAAACAUGGAAAUUAAAAGAAAAUACAGUCGUAUUCAAAUGCUUUAAAUCAGUUAGCCCCUAUUCAUAUAAAUAUUUCAUUGAGCACCAUUCAGUGGUUGUAAAUCACAGCUGCUUCAUGGACACAUAAAAUUCAUAUUUGUGUAUGUAUCAGUGUGUAUGAAUGAAAAUAUUUAGCAGGAAAACACAAAGCGUGCUUCCACUUUUCGGUUGCAUAGCACAGCACACAUUGGGUGCAUGCAACAAUCUGUUUUUUGAUAGUGACUACUAGUUGGUCCCGUUGUACCGCUGAUGUUCUGCUAAUUGGCGGAAAAACAAGGAGGCUUUCGACUACGGUAUUGACUCGAAUUAAAUGUUUAAUUGGCUCUUUUAGCAUGUGAAACGGCUUGAAACCAAAGCAAAUAAUGCAUUCAUUUAUAUUCGAAAUAUAACGUAAAUGAAAUAAGUUUUAGUGUAAAGCUGCUUUAAAGCUGCUCUUCUGGAAACAAUUCAUCUAGGUAAUAGCUAAAAAACGCAUUUAAAUUCAUUCACUCAUUCCCCAGAAUCCGCGACUGCAUCGAUCUACCCCGUUUUUGGGCGGAUUUUGUUGCGGGAUGCAUUAGCCUGGUCGAAACGAAUGCCUGGCUUCCAUGGCUUCCACAAAUAGGUAAAUGUCGGAGCACAGUAGUUGGGAAUCAAGGGGGAACUUGGGAAACUGGAAACUGGUAGCCAGGGCAACAGAAUAGCCGGGUUGUGGGGUUCGCUCAUUUCACGCUCCGCCAAUACAAGGAUGAAGCUUAUGCACUUGUCGGUCUCAUUGACGUAAUUCUCGGUGUGGCUGUUGCAUUGCAUUCCAUGCAUUCGAGUAGACUCGACUAAGGCGAAAAACGAGUUAACAUUAAGAGACGGAAUGGUGGCUUGAAUGGCAUCUAGAUAUCUUGCCAAAUAUAUCAAAACGUAAAUUGGCAACACAUUCAUACAUUUAAUCUGAGAAAGUGGUGCUAUGAAAGGCAAUUGAAAGCAAGCUGCUAAGUAAGCCACCAAAACUCAAAACAAUUAGCAACAUUUCAAAGAAGGAGCUGCAAGUCCUUGUUUGCCAAAGGAGUCAAGUGGAACCUCUAGCUUGCUUCGAGUGCAUUUGCAUAUAUGCAAAUCAAAUUACAAGGAUAUCGAGACCUCUCAGGAAACCCACCACAGACCAACAUGUGGGCUCCUCCUUUGUUGCUUCAGCUGAUGAGGCAGGAGGAAGUCAGCCAAGUCAUUCGCAUUGAUUUGGCCAUGGUCACCUGGUGUCUACCAUGUUCUGUCUAAUUUAUGCAGUGCCAACGGAUUCCGAGUGUCAAAUUAUUUAUAGUGGAAUUUUUGCUACACAUCCCGCGGUAAACUCUAUAAUUUCAAUAAACCAACACAAAUGUUCCCCAAUUGCCAAUCGCAGUUAUUAACAUACCGCAAUCUUCUGUUAAAUGAUUAGGCAAAUAAUGUCCCUUUCUCUUAAAUAAAAAGCGGGCCAGCGACUUCUUUUCUUUAGCCUUGUGGAAUAUUUUUUAUACUUUUCCUGAUACGGGCUGUGGAAAUUUUUACACAACAGCUACAUUCCCAAUCAAUUUUUUAUUUGUUUCCAACACUGUUUCUUAUUUUUUCGGCUUUCUGUGUAUUAUUUCAACAACGCGCAAAAAACUUUUCAGGCUUGACAGCAAAGAAAAUUGGAAAGAAAAAAUAUUUGGCAUGUUCCUUCUUUUCUGCUUGCCUGCCUGUCAUAAAUGGAUGAUUAAACAAAGUGACAGUAAUUUUUGGAGGUGUGAACGGAUAUAAAAUGCGCUGAUCAAUAAAAGUGUUG
rnacentral:sRNA from 1 species